rnacentral:lncRNA from 1 species
CUCAGCCAACGCCAAGGUAUGGCUAAAAUUUUGGAUGUAAAGACAUUUAACAGCCUUGGCGAACUCGGUUGGGAUAACCCUUUAUCAAGGUAUCCCUGAUAACUGAGUAUGAGAUUGAUUUUUGGUACGAGCCAAGCUUUUCAGGAAAUCAUAAGCCCAAUUGUUUAUUUGGUUGAAAUGAGUUGAAAGGUAAUGAAAUUACAGUAUGAUGAGUUAUUUUAAUUCGUCUCCAUUUACUCGCCUUUAGAUAGUUUAGAUAGUGUCUGUUUACUCAUUGGGAUUUUAUACUUUCACCACCCUCAUUUCCUCACAUUUCAGGCUCGGGGAAUUCCAUAGUUAGCUGACUUUGACAAGGACCUUCAUUUCGACUUGAAUCAGCAAAAGCUGUAGGUUUUCAGCCUCCGAUACAUUUUGGUUAGAUGUGGACCCACGUGUCAUUGUAAAAGUAAUUUUAUGCUUUGGUUAUUUGCUUUAUAGUAUAUAUGAAUAUAAUUAACUUUCACGCUAUAAGAAUUAUUUACCGAUAGCUUUAUAAAAAAAUUAUUUUACAAGAAAAUAGUUUAUUUUAUUAAAUAUUUUUAUUAUAUUCAAAUGGUCAAAUUUUCACUUCAAAUGAAUGUUUUAGAUACUUAAUUUGUUUUUAAAUCACUAAAUAUAUAUUUUCUGCUUACCUACUACAUUUUUAGCAAGUUUUGAGAUUUUUGAAGAAAAAUGACGAAAAUGCCCUUGUGAGCUAGAAAACAAUAUGUUAGGUUCUGAUUUAGAAAUGACUCGUAAUCCUUUGAAUUAUGAUAUUUGAUAACUAUUGCUCACCGAGGAAGUGCGAAACCUGAUAUGAGAGCCUUGCGAGGUUUCGAUCGGCAUUCAGGGUGAAGAAUGUCUGUCGAGGCUUCGCGACGGUUGUCACGGGCUCGAUAGGAGUUUCGGGUCGUGACAAGAAUGAUAUGGAAACUAUAUUCUCCCCCUCAACAUAAGCAUGACUAUUAGAUAAAUAAGCUUAAAGUAAAGUAAUCAAGAGGGGGUGAAUUGGUUAUGAAAUAAUAAUUCCCUUUUUUUGAAUUUUCAACUCAAUUAAAGAAUAAAGAGCAAAGUUAUAAAAACAGAGAAUAAACUAAGUAAGAAACGGUAAAAGAGUAAAGAGUACUUAGCCAAGUUUUUAUAGAGGUUCGACCUUUGAUGCCUACGUCCUCUCCCUUGAUAGUACAACGAGUUCAAAUCCAUUAUCAACUUACCUUUUAGUACAAUAUCAAAUAUAACCUUUAUAACAGAACACCUUUCCAAGGAUCAAGCACAACCUCAACCAAAGUCACUGCCUUUUUAGGAUCAAGCACGACCUUUACAACCAAAAUCCCUUUUUAAGAUCAAAGGUGUUUGCACUAACAUCAUAUGAGGUUCAGACUGGUAAUGUUGUUCUCACAUGUACAAUUCCUGUUUGUGGUUUUGAAGUUUUAGUAUUGUUUGAUCCUGGCUCCACCCCUUGGUUUGUAUCUUUGCACUUUGGGCCAAGAUUAGACAAAUUUUGUAGUGGUUUGAAAGAACCCUUGAUUGUGACUACUUCCUUAGAGAAAGUAUUUAUGGCAAAGUAUGUGUAGGAGUCUUGUGCGGUUCGUGUCAAAGACAAGGACACUUUAGCCAAUCUAGUACUAUUAAUGAUGCUAGAUUUUGUUGUAAUACAGUGUAUGGAUUGGUUAGUGUCUUGUUUCACCGAAGUGGACUACCACUAUAAGCUAGCGAAGUUUAAGUUUCUAAGGGAGCCCUUGUUUGUUUUCUAUGGACAUAAUAGUCUAGUAUCUACUAAGUAAUGUCAAUGUUGGCUGUUACGAGAAUGUCAAGGCAAGAUUGCCAAGGGUACCUAAUGACGAUUGAAGAUGACUCGAGGUGUGAUAAGAAUUUGAAUGUUGUUUCCAGAGUAAUUACUUGGAUUACCUCCCAAUUGGGAGAUUGAGUUCUGCAAUGAUCUAGUUUUAGACACAAGGCCUAUUUCUAUACCUCCGUACUGAAUGGCACUAGUAGAAUUGAGAAAACUCAAGGAAUAAUUGGAUAAUCUAUUGAGUAAGGGUUUUAUUCACCCUAUUGUUUCACCUUCUGGAGCUCUAGUGUUAUUUAUGGAAAAGAAAGAUGGUAACCUCAAAUUGUGUAUUGACUACUAGUAGCUUAACAAAGUCACCAUAAAGAAUAAAGAUCCAUUCAAUUAAUUUGUUUGACCAACUGCAGGAUGUUGUAUGCUUUUAGAAGGUUGAUUUACGAUUUGGGUACCAUUAAUUAAAAAUUCAGGAGAGUGAUGUACCCAAGACAGCGUUCUACACCCAAUGUGGGCAUUAUGAGUUUGGACUCACUAAUGCACCCGUGGCAUAAAUGGACUUGAUGAAUUGAGUUUUACGAGUGCAUUUGGAUAUAUUUGUAGUCUUAUUCAUAGAUGACAUUUUGCUGUAUUUAAGGAGCUCGGAAGAGCACGUGCAACACUUGAGAAUUAUGCUUCAAACCCUUAGAGAGCAUUAACUAUAUGUUCAGUUCAUGAAUUGUGAAUUUUGGUUAAAUAAACUCACCCCUUGGGAUGUUAAUUAAGUUAAGAUAUUAAUUGCCAAUAACGAUGAAUUAUGGCUACUAUUGAUGAGAAAAGUUUUGUGGAAGUGGAGAACUAAAUGUAGAAUUAAAAUAAUAUUAGUUUAUUGAUGUUAGGUGAAUAAGACAGCUUAAUAUUGAAAGUUGAUUUAAGUGAGUUAGAUUUGGCCAAAGUAGGGGAAAGCAAAAAAAUUUCGAAAAAAGGAAGCAUUAAUGAGGCCCACGUGUCUUCAUUAAAUAAAGUAUAAAAGGGUAUGCGUAUAUUUAAAUAUUGUGGUGACACUUGGAUGGAGUGUGAAUUUGAUAUUUAAUUUGUACGUAUAAAGGAAGAAAAAUAGAAAGCAAUCGGACUUAAAAGAAAAGUUGGAGGAUCCAAUUUAAUAUAAAAAAUGUUUGGAAGACUAAAUUGAGAAUGAUGAAAAGUUAGAGUGCCUAUUAGGUUAAGAAUAUUUAAAUAUGUAUAACAAAAAAGAAAUAAAAUGGUGAUAAAAUGGGCGGACAUCACAAAGUUGUCCCCCAUGUAACAACCAAAAAAAAGCAAAAGAUGGGGGGAAGGGGGGCUAUAACGACCAUUUUCUCCGAUUGUUAUCAACGCUCGAGUCUCACAAGCAAGCUCACCAAGUCCCGAGCAAGCCUUCACAAUUAUCCAUUUAACAAACCAUGACAUGUCUCUUGGAAAUCUCAUAACCAUCACAAUUUCAUUUAAAGGCAAAUAUUCUCUCAAUACAUUAUGUUUCAUCAUCAUUAAAAUAUAUGUUUCCAUUUACAAUAAAUGGUAAGUUCCUAAAACCUCUUGACAGCAUAAGGACCUUUAGUAGUGGAGCGACUCAGAAUAAGGUACUAAGAUAUGCCUUUACCUACAUCGCAAUUGACCAUAAUAUGCCGAUGAGAAGCACACUAGCUAAUCACUUCUCUACAAAAUGAGAAUAUUGGGGUAAGUCUCACAGACUCAGUGAUCAUCAGCUCAGUGAGCAGGGUGAAGAUGAGAAACAAGCUAAGGAUAAAAAAAUUUGAAUAUUAAAAGCAUAUGAAUAUGUAAACUAUUUAAAAUCAAAUGGAACAUUUGCGCCUUGCAUAUAAACCAAAGAAUUGUGAUGCAAAGUAACCAUUCAAGUAAUAUAUUAAAAUCGGUGCAACAAAAGAUUUCUACCGUCUAAAUCAUUUGAUGUCCUUUUCUCAAAAUCAGACUAACAUAAGCGCGCACGCUUCCAUAAAAUUAAACAAUAUCUAUGCUUAUACACAAGCAUAUAAAUGAACUCAUACUUAAGGUAUUAAACACAAAACCAUCAUAUAAAUAAGAGAGCUGCGAAAAAACUGGUAUUUCUCACCAUACGAAAGAAUACAUAUUUAAAAACCCUAAAGAGAUAUCACUCUUGAGUAGGUAAUCAUAGAUAAUCAACCUGUGGACCCUCUUCCACGUAAUAACAUCUGGGAGGGCCCCCUUCACUAGAUUCCCACAACCAUGGCAGUCUGAAUGAUGUUGGCUAAUAUCAGAGAAAUCAUAUGGUCACAACCACAUAUAUCAACUUGUGGCCUAGCCAAGUAUAUCAACCCGUGGCCUUGCCACGUAUAUAUCAUAAACUGUGGCCUAGCCUUGUCUAACAGCCCGUCGGUGACCCAAAGGUUCUCUAGCUAGAGCUCACUUGUGCACAAGGGUCACACUAUUCCAAUGUCACAUUCAACCUACUAUCGAAUCUCCUAGUUUGACAAAGCCAUUUAUAACCAAAUUGGGUUUUCAAAAACUUAUUUUAAAUCCAUUUCCAAAAUACAAAUCACAAUAAUGUUAUCAAUCCAUUUGUAAGAAUUCAUGAUUUAAAACCUUUGCAUGAGGUUUAAAUAUUAAAUCAAAGCAUGGUGAACAUAAAGCUUAUUCAUGAAUGUACCUCACAAAAACAAGUAAGGCACAUUUUGACAUAAACCGUGGUAAGGAGCUUGUUCCUCGAUUUCUAAAACGCUUUACAUAUAUAGCUUAUAUAUUAUAUAUAAAGCUAAUUCAAAAAUCAUGGCAUUCAUAAUCGCCUAUCAUUUCUACCAGCUCAUGCUUUCAACAAUAAUAGUGUAUAAAUCCUUUCACAAAUAGGUACUUAAACCACCUAUCAUUUUCUAGCAACUCAUGCUUUCCACAAUGGCAUUGAAUAAAUCAUCGACAAGUUACUAUACAUAUAACAUUAUAUAGUAUGGAAUCUUUUGAAAUAGACACCCCCUAUUCGCCUUUCUUGGCAGGAUAUUACUUCACCAAUUUAAACUCUUUGCGUUCUUAAUCGAUCAAUAUUGCUUGCCGUUUAACUGUUAUCCUUCUUGAUUUACAUGCACGGCAACUAUCCUUUACUUGUCAAUUUCCCGCCUUGCAAUUAAAUCCAAGAUAUUUAGCAACUUUACAAUUUAUUCUAUCCUACACUUGCUGCCCACAUUUAGCUUUAUGCUUUUAUGGCUUAUUCUUCAUUCCCCCUUCUCAUUCAAGUACUAACCAUUAACUAAAUAGUUCAAUUCAUGCUAUGAUUAGCAUUCCUUCACAAAUAAUCUUUUGCACACACGCACAUAUAUAUAGGUAGCAACUUUACCAAAGAAUUCCUAAGUCUUGACAUGCAUAAUUUUCUAUCUUUUACUUUCUUCAAAACAUUACAUUCACAAAACAUCAAAUCUCAUAACUAGUAUAAGCAUUCUUCCUAACCGUACCCAAGAUAGCACAAUCAAUUUACAUUGCAUGCUUACCUUCAACAAUGGUAAGCCCUUUUCUUUGGUAACAUGCAUUCAAAGCCCUUUUCUUUAUACCUCAAUUUCCACCAUUCAACAAUGGUUUGGUAACAUGCAUGCAACUAUGUUCCUUCAAACCUUGUAAAUCUUUGCUGCCACAAACAUUUUCACACAAUCACAAUUUUUUUCCUUAAGAAAUCUAUAACCAAAAUCAAAGUUCCACUUACCAUAACUUGGUUGAACCGUGGAUCAUCGAUAUUCUUUUCCUCUUGAUCCAAAGCUUUUUCUUUCAUAUUUCUUGACCCGUAUAAGAACUAACUCAUAUCUCUUCAAACAAGAUGGAUUUCUAGGAGCAAUGAAGCUUGAUGAUAGGAAUAUGGCAAGAAAUAAGCUCAUGGGUACUAAGAGAAAUGAAGUAGCCAAGCACUUUUCUCUUAACGCUUUCUCUCCUCUUGGGUGAAAGCCUCACAAAGCUAUUUUAUCUUCAUUUCUCUUCCAAAUGGGGUGGAUCUCUCAAGGCAAACACACUUUGGUUGCUUUCUUUUUGAUAUGGGUGGACAUAACAAGAAAUAGGCUUGAAAUGGCCUUGUAAAAGUUCCCAUUUCCUUUCCAUUUCUUUCAUGGGUAGAUUGCCCAAGGCUUGGUCGCUUUUUGGCAUUUUUCUUUUUAAUUCCUUAUUCAUUCCUUUAUCCUUUGGUUAGAUUACCUUGCCCAUGCAAUGGUCCAUCACUUUUGGUUUAUUUCAUUUGCAUUUCAUUUUAAUGUCACCUUAUCAUCCAAUAAUAUUUCAUGCACAUUUCCUCUACCAAUAACCUUUGCCAUCCCAUGAACUAAUAAGACUUCAUGCAUUUUUCCACUCUUGAAUCUUAUUUGGCCUCCUUCAAAACCAAUAGGAUUUCAUGCAAUAUUUAAUUUAUUUCUUUUAUUCUCAAUCUUUUCUCUACCACCAUGUGUAACCACUUAAAUUUAAAGUAUAGCUUUCUUUCAAUUAAAUAUUCUUUGUUCUUUUUUCGUUGUCAUCUUUCACAUGGUGGGAGUCCCACAUGUCCCCCACUAAGCUUUAUCCUUUGUACAUGCAAUCAUUUGCAUGUAAUGGUAACUUCACAUGCAAAUUCCAUCAAGCUAAGUGUGAGACCUCAACCUCUAUAGGCUUGUAACUAAGUAUAGAUGUAAUAAUACGAGCCAGGGGUAGUUUCGUUAUUUUCUCUAAUAAGCUUUCAGAAGAAAGUUUUAUGAUAUUUUAAGGCUUAAAUGGGUAUAAGACUGCAUAAAUGAUGUGUGCUGAUGAAAACAUGAAGAAAACUAGAAGUUUCAACAAUUUUCAUAACAGGGGCAAAAUGGUCGUUUUUCACCUCGAGUUAAAAUUUUAAGUUUUUAUGAACCCGAACAUGUCUAGACCAUCAUGGAUCUUGUCCCAGUGUUAAAAGAGCAAAAAGAUUGCAUAAAAGAUUGGAGGAGAAUAAGUUAAUUGGUGAAGGGGCAUUUUUAUAAUUUUAAGGGAAAGAAUAAGAUUGCCUAUAAAUAUCUUGAAUUUCCAGCAGCUUCUAGAGAUUUUCCAGUAGCUAGUCUUCUUCUUCUUCUCCUCUCUCACGUUUCUUCAAAACUCCAUAGAAGCUUGAUUUGAAGCUUGAAUGAUUUUUUCUCUCUCUAGCUCUAGUUUUCACACCUUUGAACCCUUUUGACUAGAACCUUUGAAUUCUUUCAUCCUCUCACUUCAAAACCCUUGAUAAAGCUUAUUUCCAGACUUUCUCUCACUAGUUGGGCAUUCUAGAGAGAGAAAGAGAGAAUUACUCCAUUGAUUUGGAAGCAAUUGGAAGAGAAUUUGACUACAAAGGAGCCCUAGGGUAAAUAAUGAACUAAGCUCAACUUUUAGCUGUAGAAAAUGGCUAGUAAUUGGGAUUGAUGAGCUGUUUUAUUAUUGACUAUGUUCAUUACUUUUUAGUGAUUAAGAUAGUGAACAUAGAUUGUUGUUUAAUGUGGCAAUUGAAAACUAGCUAAGAGAUAGCUUUUAGAGUUCAUAGUGUGUAAAUUGAUCUAUUGUUUAUGUUAAUGUGAUCCUAGGUUUUAAGAAAGCCCCAUCAUCUCAUUUGGACAAUUAGGGGAAUUGGAGUCAUCUAAAGGCUUUACAAUCAAUUGGUGAGUGGANNNNNNNNNNNNNNNNNNNNNNNNNNNNNNNNNNNNNNNNNNNNNNNNNNNNNNNNNNNNNNNNNNNNNNNNNNNNNNNNNNNNNNNNNNNNNNNNNNNNNNNNNNNNNNNNNNNNNNNNNNNNNNNNNNNNNNNNNNNNNNNNNNNNNNNNNNNNNNNNNNNNNNNNNNNNNNNNNNNNNNNNNNNNNNNNNNNNNNNNNNNNNNNNNNNNNNNNNNNNNNNNNNNNNNNNNNNNNNNNNNNNNNNNNNNNNNNNNNNNNNNNNNNNNNNNNNNNNNNNNNNNNNNNNNNNNNNNNNNNNNNNNNNNNNNNNNNNNNNNNNNNNNNNNNNNNNNNNNNNNNNNNNNNNNNNNNNNNNNNNNNNNNNNNNNNNNNNNNNNNNNNNNNNNNNNNNNNNNNNNNNNNNNNNNNNNNNNNNNNNNNNNNNNNNNNNNNNNNNNNNNNNNNNNNNNNNNNNNNNNNNNNNNNNNNNNNNNNNNNNNNNNNNNNNNNNNNNNNNNNNNNNNNNNNNNNNNNNNNNNNNNNNNNNNNNNNNNNNNNNNNNNNNNNNNNNNNNNNNNNNNNNNNNNNNNNNNNNNNNNNNNNNNNNNNNNNNNNNNNNNNNNNNNNNNNNNNNNNNNNNNNNNNNNNNNNNNNNNNNNNNNNNNNNNNNNNNNNNNNNNNNNNNNNNNNNNNNNNNNNNNNNNNNNNNNNNNNNNNNNNNNNNNNNNNNNNNNNNNNNNNNNNNNNNNNNNNNNNNNNNNNNNNNNNNNNNNNNNNNNNNNNNNNNNNNNNNNNNNNNNNNNNNNNNNNNNNNNNNNNNNNNNNNNNNNNNNNNNNNNNNNNNNNNNNNNNNNNNNNNNNNNNNNNNNNNNNNNNNNNNNNNNNNNNNNNNNNNNNNNNNNNNNNNNNNNNNNNNNNNNNNNNNNNNNNNNNNNNNNNNNNNNNNNNNNNNNNNNNNNNNNNNNNNNNNNNNNNNNNNNNNNNNNNNNNNNNNNNNNNNNNNNNNNNNNNNNNNNNNNNNNNNNNNNNNNNNNNNNNNNNNNNNNNNNNNNNNNNNNNNNNNNNNNNNNNNNNNNNNNNNNNNNNNNNNNNNNNNNNNNNNNNNNNNNNNNNNNNNNNNNNNNNNNNNNNNNNNNNNNNNNNNNNNNNNNNNNNNNNNNNNNNNNNNNNNNNNNNNNNNNNNNNNNNNNNNNNNNNNNNNNNNNNNNNNNNNNNNNNNNNNNNNNNNNNNNNNNNNNNNNNNNNNNNNNNNNNNNNNNNNNNNNNNNNNNNNNNNNNNNNNNNNNNNNNNNNNNNNNNNNNNNNNNNNNNNNNCUCCGUUGGAAGUUGAGUGUUAUUUUGUUUUUUAUAGACAAACUUAAUGUAAAUUAUUAGAAUACAUGUUGUAGACAUUGUAUUUAAAUUUUUAAGGAGUAAUGCCAGUCACGAUUUGGCAAUGUAUAUCACUAUUUGAUUCAAAAGUAUGAAAUAUGACUUAGCGAUAUUUGCUAGAAUGAUGAGUAGGAUAAAUAAAUAGGCUUGCUUGGGCUUAAUGGACUACGUCUAUUAGGCUCUUACGCCGAUCAUGGCCCAAAAAUUUAGGUCGUGACACUAAGCAAUCUCACUUGCAUCCAACUUGAAUUUCAUCUUGCUUUCCAGGAUACAAAUAUAUACAUUCAAUAUCCACUUAAAUUAAAAUGGAGAAAUUGCACAUAAGCCCUUCAAUUUUUCCUUAUUUACCAUUUGACCUUCCAAACUUUUCAUCCUUUACAAUUUGGUCUUUCCAACUUUUCCUAAAUUGCAAAUUGAUUCUUUAAUUUUUUAUAAUUACAACUUCACCCCUUAACCUUUCAUUAUUUACAAUUCCACCCUUCAACAUCUUAUUCCUUUCAAUUAGGUCCUCUCAUCAUUCUUUUCAUUUCAAUUCUUUUCUAUCUUUCUUCCUUUGCACUUAUACAAAUAAAAUAUCAAAUUUAUACUCCAUUAAAGCAUCACUAUAAUAUUUAAAUAUAUACUUACUCUUUCUCACUUAAUUUAUUGAAGGCAUGCCAACCCCACUAAAGCUUCCUUUCUUUGAAAUUUUUCUUACUUUCACUCCCUCACUUAGACAAAUUGUACAAAUCACAUGUUCUUCAUGUAAUAUAACCAAUUUGACAUUGGUAUUAUUUUAAUAUUAUUUUAUCCAACAAGUGAUAUUUUAUUCUAAAAUUUUUUGCUAGCCUUCUAGGGCUCCAAAACAUCUUACUUUGCCCCGAUAUAGCUCUAUAGCACCUUUUAACUCCAUAAGUUUGACUUUAAUAAAAUAUUAUUAUUUUAUCAUGUUGAAAAUAUUUUACUUUGCCCCGAUAUAGCUUUAUAGCACCUUUUAACUCCAUAAGUUUGACUUUAAUAAAAUUUUAUUAUUUUAUUAUUAUUUUAUCAUGUAGAAAAUAUUUUACUUUGCCCCGAUAUAGCUCUAUAGCACUUUUUAACUCCAUAAGUUUGACUUUAAUAAAAUACUAUUAUUUUAUCAUGUAUAAAAUAUUUUAUUCCAAAAUAGUUCUUUCAACCUUUAACACUCUUAAACACUUCAAUUACUCUUCAUCUUAUCCUUAAGGUCAUAUUAGGCAUUAUACCAAAGUACAAGGUGUUAUAGGGGCGAACAAAGCAAUUUUGUCCACCCACGCAAAACAAAAGAAAAAUAAAAGGGAAAAGUUAAAAUAAGCUAAACUUCGGUAAUUUAGCCCUAUUUCGAGAGGAGAAAGGGGUUUUGCAAUUUCUCUCUAAACUAGCACCUUCAAAGCCCUUUUCCAUGAAUUUUAAGCUCCAUGAUACUCAUGUAAGGCUAGAAAAGUGUUAAUGAGGUAAGAAUUGAUACUCUUAGUGCAUUAUUUUUUAUUUAAAUGGUUAAAAAUCUAGAUUUUUCUUAUGUAGCAAUAGGUUGGUAUAUUCGGUUAGAGAAUGGUUUUAAGUUUUCUUGUUUUGCAUUGAAAUGAUUUCUGAACCACCAAGGUAAAGAUUUAAGUGUUGGAAUAUUUGGCAUAAGCUGUGGUUUAGGUUGUUGGUUAAAAUAUAGAAGACUGAUUUAAAUUUGAUGGAUUGAGUUGGAACGUUUGAAUACUAUGAAACUUUUAAUGGAAAGUUUAUUAUAUUGCUAAAAUGUUAUGUCUUCUUUUGAUUUUAAAUUAUUAUUGGAGAAUAAUUGUGGUAGGUAAUGCAUCAGUUAGCUGUGUUAAUGGAAGCUGCUGUGUUUGGGAACAGAAAAGCAUUUUGUUGUGCAGUUUAGAAUCAAAUUAAUUAGUUCCAAGUUAUAUUUUUUUGUUUUGCAGCUCACUCCCACUUGAGAGGCUGAAAAUCAUGAUUCGAUAUCUAGCUACCUUAAUUCCGUGAGGUAAGGGACAAUUGUUGUUGAAAGGGUGAAUUGAGGUUAAAAAAUAAAUUGGUAGAUUAUAUUAAUGAGAUUAUGCAAGGAGCUAGAGAAUUAUUAGUCAUGUUCUAUAAUGGAAAUGGGAUUCGUUUAAAUGAGCUUAACUAGUUAGAUUAAGCUAAAAAUAGAUUACUAUGAGCAUGAGAAAAAUUUUUAAAAGAAAGUAUAAAGCUUAGUUGAGCGAAAUUGUGAAUAGAAUGCUUUAAAUAGCAAUUGGUGGAGUUGUAUAUAUAAGAAAUAAUGCUUCAAAUAGCAAUUGAUGGAGUUGUAUAUAUAAGAAAUAAAUGAAUUUGAUAUGUUCUAACUUUCAUGCAUUAUGUAAUGCUUGUAUGUGAGUUAUAUAGAGGUUUAUGAAAGUAAAUGGAUAUUGGUUGUUAAACUUGGACUUGUACUUAAUGGAGAAAUGAAAUGUUUGAAUGUUAGGAGUCAUAACUGAUGAGAAAAUUUUGGGAAAGCAACAUUUUCUCUUCAGUUCUAGAGACGAUAAAGGUGAUGUUGAGUAGCUAACUUCCACGAAUAAAUUAAGCAAAGUAACAAGAUUAAUAGUUAAAUCUUAGUUCCUAGUAUAAUUACUAAGGAUCUCAUUGUUUGGCUAGGUAUGGCAAAUGUGACUUUCGGUUCAAGGGCUGAAAGGAGUUUAAGAAAGUAGCUAACUUGAUAACUUUUUAACAUAAGAACGGUAGGCAAACAAAGAGGAUUUUAUAAUGAUGUUAAUGCUAGGAAAGGCAUGAUUAAAUCAUCAACGUAACGGACUAACAAAAAUUGAAAUAAAAUAAAAAACCAUGCCUCCUACCUUGGAUCACCUUGGUUGUUUAAUGCAAAGUUAAGCACCUUAUAAAAUCAGAAAAAGUUUUACCUUUCCAAGUGAUAUCGUAAUCAAAUGGAUUCCUUUUGGUGACAAAACGUGAACACCUUUUAUGUGAAAGAAUCCCAGUCACUCAAUUGCUUGACCUCAAUGAUGCACAUACGGUUGCAACGGAUCGUUAUCAAGGAGAGAGCUUUAUGCCAUGAGCUUGUGCUAGCAAGUGGACAACGAUUUGUCCUCUUUUCUUCUUUGAUUUCCAACAAAGAAUCAAAGGAGAAGUUUUCAAAAAAAAAAGAAAAUAAACUUCUCAAGAGUGGCAGCACUCAAGAGGAAAAUCAUUUUUUAUUGUUUCCUUCUCUUUAAAAAAAAAAGAGUGGCUACAAUGUGAUAUUUAUAUCUAGGUUUAACUUAUUAAAAUUUACAAAAUAAGACCUUAAUAUUAUAAAAAUUAUAAUAUUUAACCAAUACCUAAUUAAACUCUUUUAAUUAGGUCUUUAGUAGUUAAAACCUAGAAUUUGAUUUGAGUCUAACUUAAAUCAUCACACUCUCAAUUUAAUCCAAAUUCCAACCUUUGUGUGUGACCAAUUAGGUUCCUAACAUGUUACCAAUGGAAUUGAUUUAUAAUAUUAUUAAUUAAUUAAUUAAUUUCAAUGAAUCAUAUUCAAUUUUAAAUUAACUAAUUCAAUUCCAUAGACCAAGAUUGGCAUCUAGCAAUGCAUCAUGGUCACCCAAUUGUUAGAAGAGUCAAAGAAUUCUUUAAUAACCUUUCAGCGUACAGUUUUUUAGUGUAAUACAUUCCCUCAUCAUAUAUUCCGAAGAUGAUAAAAGCUUGGCACAGUGCCUACUCUUAUUGAUCUCCAUAUUUGUUCUUGCAGUUAGAUCAUUAGCUUUAUGGAGACUUAUGAAACUCAUUUCAUAAUCUCCUAAUCACCUUGACCAAGGAUUUGAUUUAUCUAAUGUCAACCAAGAACUAAUGAGAUAUUUUCCCUUGAAUCACUUGGGGUGAUGAUUCCUAUCUUGACCACUCAUUUGCCUUCAUAUGCUUUAUACUAUACUCAAAAACAUCUUGUUUCGGCAUCCUUGAUUUGGCACCCAUAAGGAUGAAAUCAAAGCAUAGUACUCCACAUACAAAACAACUUGGUGUCUCAAGUCUUAGGAGUAAUUACACAAUUGACACAUGAGAAGUAUUGCAUAGAGACUUGAGUGAGGUACCAAAUGCACUUCUCAUGGCGGGUCAUGUUCAGUGAACUCACUCUUCCAUGGCAAGCACCCACAUGCUAGUUUCAAGUAACUCUAUACUUCAACCUAUGAGAGCGAUUGCUUACUUCACAAGUAAAGAAGAUAACACGUGCCAAUCUUUGAGCAUUAUUGAUGCCUUGUCUUAAUAAUACAAUGACUAGGAACUUUUGGGAACAAUGCUUUAAUGCAUAAGGAUCUCAUAAUUGUAUCCCAAUACAAUUCCUUUGCAAGGGAUAUAUAAUUCCAUGGGCUUUAUCAACGCAUGUACAAAAAGUAAUUAAAUCACAAACUUAUAGCUAAAGAACUACCUCAAUGUUAUUAUAAAUAACAAAAUGUCAUACAUGAAUAUCUCAAAAUUGUAAUUCCCAUACAACCACAGAUUGGCUUGUAAGGCUUAUACUAACAAUCUCCAACUAGCACUAAAGCCAAUCAUCGAUGUAUCUAAUACCAAUGUUCUUAACAUGACGAUUAUGCUUCUGCUGGGACAGUGCUUUAAUGAGAGGAUCAACAAUAUUAUCCUCAAUGGGUAUAUGCUCAAUGCAAAUGUCUCCUCUUCCAAUGAUCUCCCUGAUCACAUGGUAACAUCGUAAUAUAUGUUUGGAUUUCUGAUGAGACCUUGGUUCCUUUGCUUGUGCAAUGGCUGCAUUGCUAUCACAAUACAAAGGUAUUGGAUCAACAAUGCUAGGAACCGCAUCUAGUUCAGUAAUGAACUUCUUAAUCCAAUCUGCCUCUUUUGUUGCCUUACACGUAGAGAUGUAUUCGGCCUCGGUUGUAGAAUCCACAGUCAUCUCUUGUUUGGAACUCUUCCAACUCACUGCACCUCCAUUAAGUGUGAACACAUAUCCACUUUGCAACUUGCUAUCAUCUUUGUUAGUUUGGAAGUUUGCAUCUGUAUAACCCCUAACUUGGAGUUCACCUCAUCCAUAAACUAGAAAUACAUCCUUAACUCUUCGUAAAUACUUUAGAAUGUUUUUUAGAAUUAUCUAGUGACUUUCACCAAGAUUAGCUUGGUAUCCACUCGUGACACUUAAAGCAUAAGAUACAUCUGGUCUAGUGCAAAACAUCGCAUACAUGAUAGAUCCUAUUGUUGAAGCAUAUGGGAUCUUAGCUAUUCGAUCUCUCUCUUCUUAAUUAUUUGGACACAUGUCCUUGGAGAGAUAAAUGCCUUCCGACAUAAGCAAGUGUCCUUUCUUGGACUCUAUCAUGCUAAACCUCUUUAGCACCAUGUCUAUGUAUAUGGAUUGGGAAAGACCUAGCAACCUUUUAGAUCUAUCUCUGUAGAUCUUUAUUCCUAGAAUGUAAGUUGCUUCUCCCAAAUUUUCGUAGAUUGUAGCGAUGGUAUAUCAUUUCUUGUGAGCAAUAUGUAAUCAACAUAUAGCACUAUGAAAAUUAUGGCACUCCCACUAACCUUUUUGUAGACACAUGGUUCAUCUUCUUUUUUUAUGAAGUCAAACCUUUUUACAGCUUCAUCAAAAUGGAUGUUCCAACUUCGAGAAACUUGCUUAAGUCCUUAAAUGGACUUUUGAAGCUUGCACACCUUAUUAGUAUUAGCAUUGGAUAUAAAACUUUCAAGUUGUGUCAUGUACACUUCUUCUUGCAAGUUUCCAUUAAGGAAUGUAGCUUUUACAUCCAUUUCCCAUAUUUCAUAAUCAUGGUAUGCAGCAAUUACAAGCAAAAUACUAAUGAAUUUAAGCAUAGCAAUUGGUGAAAAGGUUUAUUCAAAGUCAAUACCUUGUCUUUGUUUGUAACCUUUUGCUACCAAUCUAGCUUUAAAGGUUUGCACCUUGCCAUCUACAUCGGUCUUUCUCUUAAAGACCCACUUGCACCCAAUGGGUUUUAUCCCUUCAGGUGGAUCCACCAAAAUCCAUACUUGGUUGGUAUCCAUGGCAUCCAUUUCAGAUUUCAUGGCUUCUAGCCAUUUCUCAGCAUCGAUGUCCAAAGUUGCCUCCUCAUAGGUUGUAAGCUCAUCAUUUAUGAACAAUGUGUCCCUUUCCAAGAGAAAUCCUUAUCUCUUUGGAGCUUGACAUAUUCUACUAGACAUUUUAAGUAGUUAUGCCUCUUGAGAUUUUGGUUGUACAUCAGAUGUCAUAAUCUCAAGCUCAAGCUCUAAUGGAAUGUCAAUUUGUGGGACUUAAACUUCUUCAAGUAUAACUUUACUCCCACUAGACUUUUCAUUUAAGAACUCUUUCUCAAGGAAAGUCGCAUGCCUUGAGGCAAACACCUUUUGCUUAGUGGGAUUAUAAAAAUAAUAACCAAGUGUUUCUUUAUGAUAUCCCACAAAUUUACAUUUGUCUAAUCUCGCUUCUAGCUUAUCAAACAUUGUACGCCUCACAUAAGCAGUACAUCCCCAAAUCUUGGCAUAAGACAAGUUGGACCUUUUCCUACUCUAUAUCUCAUAUGGUGUCUUAUCAACUAAUUUGGUAGGAACCUAGUUUAAUAUGCGAGCAACAAUUUCUAGAGCAUAUCCCUAAAAAGAUAUAGAAAUAUCUACACGACUCAUCAUGGAUCGAAUCAUGUCCAAUAAUGUUCGAUUCUUUCUCUCAGACACCCCAUUGUGUUGUGCAGUCCUAGAGGAGUCCAUUGUGCAAGAAUCCCAUUCUCUUUUAGAUAAUCCUAAAACUCUUGGCUAAGAUAUUCUCCUCCUCGAUCAUAUCUAAGAGUAAGAAUACUCUUCCCAAUUUGUUUCUCAACCUCUGCUCUAAAUUCUUUGAACUUGUCAAAGGAUUCAGAUUUAUAUUUCAUCAAAUAUACAUAACCAUAGUGAGAAUGGUCAUCUGUGAAGGUGAUGAAGUAGGAGUAUCCUCCUCUAGCACUAGUAUUCAUAGGACCACAUACAUCUGAAUGUACAAGUCUUAGAAAGAACAAAAAUUGCCCUUAAUGCAAAAUUUCAUAUAAUGUCAAGUAUGACACAAAUAUGAUAUUUCAAGAUAUGGAAGGAACAUAGUAACAGUCUCUUAAUUCCAAGAUCAACCUAGAAGGUAAAGGUAUGGUAACUGUCCCCACAGCCAAUGCAGUAACCUUUGCUUUAUUUCCUACUCUUAAGACCACCUUUCCUUUCGUUAAUCUUUUACUCGUUUCCAGCACCUUCAUGUCAUUACAUAAGUGUGACCCACAUCUAGUAUCUAAUACCCAUGAUGAUGGAUCAGUAGUACACAGAUUUACUUCAAUCAUACGCAUGGUCAAAGGUGAAACUUCUACAAGUUUCUCAUUCUUUGACCUUGUCAAGAAGGCAAGGAUAUCUUCCUUAAUGACAUCUAUUCUAAAUAGAUAUUUGAGAACAUUUCUCAACUUGAUAUACCAAUCCAAACAUUUUGGCCCGAAUUUCAUGAUGACAUCAAGUACGCCACACAAAGUAAUGUGUAUUCGCAUUCUAACAACCUAGACAUUUAAAGAAUGUUUAUGAGUAAUCAUGUAUUAUAAUCAAUUAAGAUGAGAUAGUAAAUCUUAAAUUAAUUGCUCCCACUAUUUUCUUCAAGAUGAUAACCCUCCAUAUCACCUCGAGAGAUCUCUACAAGGAUUCUCUUAGUGGGCUAAGAUCCUUAUCCAUUCUAAUCAUGACCUUGAGUGUGCUCAACAAACCAUGAUAGCUAGAUUAUGUAGGUAACUAAGCUUACCAAUUGUAUCUCUAUACAACUCCUAGAUCAACUAGGUGGCAACACAUUGCCUAAAAAUAUCAUAUAUGUUUCGCCUAGCCAUUGCCUCUAGUUUCCAUAAUAAUCAAGUUUCCAAGCAUCCGAAUUUUAUCAAACUAGUUGAGUAGGACCCACCAAUAGCUCAAACAUACUCGUGUAAAAGUGUGACCUUAAGUAUGCUCAACAAGUCUUCGAUUAAAAGAGCAUGCAGGUUAUCUUGCUAUAUGGUGAAAGGCAACUUAAUCAUGCAUGGCAUGUGACUCAAUAUUUACCGAGGGAUUUUCUUAUUUUUUACUUAAUUAAGGUCUCAUCCUUGCAUGCAUAGCAUUUAUUAAUUGCAUAAAUAAAUCUAUCUCAUGCAUACUACUUUGGAUGAUUAUGAACUUUAUCUAUACUAAUUUCCUUGAACCAUCAAAGGAAAUUAGCUUGGUCAAACCUAGGAGAAAACAUAUAACAUAUGAUAAUCUUCCUCCUUGUACCUUCAUGGCUCCUUUAGGUCUUUAUCUUCGAAUUAUAAAAUAACUCCUAAACUAAUCCUAAUUCUACACUUAUAUGUAACUAAUUACAUUUUAGUAAAGAAACCUCAUGGUACAUCCGAGAAGAGUUAGGUAAGGAAAGAAUUUUACAAUUCCAGAAAAUCGAGAGAAAGGCAGGAUACGUAGACCCUAUUUAAUAAAUAAAUACCAUGUUAAAAUUUAACCAUACAUCCACAAUCAUAUUAGGCCUAGUCCAUAAUCAUCCAUAUUCAUCCAUCCACAUGAACAUAAAAUUAAAUCUAUGUCUUGUUCAAAUUGUUAAUCACAUGAUUUAUUUGAAAUUAGUUAAAUUUAACUUUUGAAUUAACUUAAUUUCAAAUUUUUGGGUCUCAAUUUCUUUCCAUAUAUAAUGAAACAAUUUCCAUAUAUAGAAAUCCUUACUGAUGAAUAUAAAUAACUUUUAUCCAUAAUCUAAUCUUAUUAGGAUAGGAUUUAUUACAAAUUAAAACAAUUUUAAUUUGCUUUGUCCAAAUAUUUAAGGCUAUCCUUUACCAAUUAGAUAUUAAAGAUUUUAUGUCUUAAAUCACCUAAUCUCAUGUGGUAAUUUUAAGAUAAUAAAAUCUUCAUUUAUCCAAUUGUCAAAUCCGAAUUCCAUAGCUAAUAUCAUGGAGAUAUUCCUCUGAUUUUAAAUUGCCUAUUUAUUCUUAGACUCACAUAAUAUAUAGGAAUCUAGUUCCUUAAUUUAUGGAAGAUUUUAAAAUAAUUUUGACUUCAAUAAAAUUAGGAAACCAAUUCCCAAAUUUAAUAUGUCAAAUCAUUUUAACUUAUCAAUUAAAUAAAAUAAUUAUCGUAUUUUGUAGAAAUUAAAAUCCUUAUUUUGUGGAAACUUUCAAAAUUGAUUUUGAUUUGCUGAUUUUAUGGAACUACUUCCACGAAAUAUCUGAUAAUCAAUUGAUUUUUAAAUUACAUCAAAUUAGGAUGUAAGAUAAGGCAAUUCAAAAGGCCAAAACUGUGGCAUUCAAAAAACUGCUUGCAGUAAUUUUAUUGACCUCGUUUCUUGGACAUUAAUGUAACACCUUGUACCCUCCUAUAGAAGCCAAUACGAUCUUAUCGACAAGACGAAGGGUCAAUUGACGUAAAUUUAACUGCCAAAGAGUAGAGACGAGUGGAAAAGAACAUUUUAGAAUAAAUAAUAUUUUAUUAAGAAAAUAAUAUUAAAAUAUUAAUAUUUUACCUAUUGUUGAAAGUAGUUAUGAAGGAGGACUAUAUGGUUAAUCUAAGUGGGGGAGUAGAAGUAAGAAAGAAUUUUGAAAAAAAACAACAUUAAUGGGGCCCACGUGCCUUCAUUAAAUAAAGCAAGAAAUGGUAAGUAUAUAUUUAAAUAUUAUGGUGACACCUUGGUGGAGUGUCAAUUUGAUAUUUUAUUUCUACAAGUGUAAUGGAAGAAAAAUAGAAGGAAAUUAAAAUUAAAGUAAUUUUUGAAGGACCAAAUUGUAAAGGAUGAAAAGUUAAAGGGUCAAAUGGUAAAUAAGGAAAAAUUUGAGGACUUAUGUGCAAUUUCAACAUUUGAAGUUAAAUGGAAAUUAACUAACCAAGGAAAAUUAGAUUAUGUGGGAGAAUGGAAUAUGCAUGUAACAAAUACUAUUACACGCAAAGAUAUGCAUACAAGGAUGUACUUGUAGUGGGGAACAUGUGGGACCCCCACCAUGUGACAAAUAAAAAGGCAUAAGACAAAAUGAAUAAGAUAACACGUGCAUGUGGAUUUUUAAGUUAAAAGAAUGCAUGGAAAUUUUAUGCAUGAUGGACACUUGGUAACAAGUAGACUAAAAGAAAAGAAAAUAUAGUUGCAUGUAAUGUCAUUGGCCAAGGAGGAGACCAAAUGGAAAUUAAGGUGGAAAACUUGCAUGAAAGACCAUUGGACACAAAUAAGGUGGGAAUUAAGUGAAAAUAAAUUAAAGAAUGGAUAUGGAUAGUAAAGGAGGAUUUUUAACCAAUGUGGAAGAAAGGAUAUUGGUGCAUGAAAACCCAUUGGUUGGCAAAAUGGGCAUACGAAAAUAAAAGGUGAAUGUGUGCAUGUAUUAUGAUUGGUUAAAUGGGUGGCCAUAUAAAUACCAAGAUUCAAAAGUAAAAGAGAAAAGGGAAUUGGUCUUGGUGAGACUUGAGAGAGCCAGCCAUUAAGAGAGGAAAAGAAAGAAGAAAGUGCUUGGACAGAAUCAAAUCUGCCUUUAAUACCCAUAUCUCUAUUCCUCUAAGAUCCCGAAUUCCUUUGCUGAGUUUUGUGCAUCUUAUGCAAACUUUAAUCUGUAAAUUAUUAACAUUAAAACAUGUUUAAUGUUCAUUAAUAAGAAUAUAAAAUUUUACAAAAUAAAACUAUUCAGAAAUAUCAAACAAUUUCAGAAUAGAAUUAUGUAAACUUGAACUCACCAUUUGAUACCCGAAUUUUCACAUCCAUGUCAAACAUAGUAUUAAUAACAACAACACAUACCUUUGCAUUACAACAAGCCAAAGGAGGCUCUGAUACCACUGCUAGGAAUGGCAUGAUUAGAGCAUCAACGUAACGGAAUAAUAAAAAUUGAAAUAAAAUAAAAAACCAUACCUCCUACCUUUGGAUCACCUUGGUUGUUUAAUGCAAAGUCAAGCACCAUAUAAAAUCAAAAAUUUUUUUACCUUUUUAAGUGAUAUCGUAAUCAAAUGGAUUCCUUUUGGUGACAAAAUGUGAACACCUUUUCUGUGAAAGAAUCCCAGCCAACUCAAUCGCUUGGCCUCCAAUGAUGCAUACACGAUUGCAAUUGAUCCUUCUCAAGGAUAGAGCUUUAUGCCAUGGGCUUCUGCUAGCAAGUAGACAAUGAUUUGUCCUCUUUUCUUCUUUGAUUUUCAGCAAAGAAUCAAAGGAGAAGUUUUUAAAAAAAAGAAAAUAAACUUCCCAAGAGUGGCAACACUCUAAAGAAAAAUAUGUUUUUUUUGUUUCCUUUUCCUUAAGAAAAAAAGAGUGGCUAUAAUGUGAUAUUUAUAUCUAGGUUUAACUUAUUAAAAUAUGCAAAAUAAGUUCUUAAUAUUAUAACAAUUAUAAUAUUUAACCAAUACCUAAUUAAACUCUUUUAAUUAGGUCCUUAGCAGUUAAAACCUAGAAUUUGAUUUAAGUUUAACUUAAAUCAUCACAGCCUCAAUUUAAUCCAAAUUGCAACCUUUAUGUGUGACCCAUUAAGUUCCUAACAUGUUGGCAAUGGAAUUGAUUUAUAAUAUUAUUAAUUAAUUAAUUCAAUGAAUCAUAUUCAAUUUUAAAUUAACUAAUUUAAUUCCAUAACCAUGAUUGGCAUUUAGAGGUAGAUCAUGGCCACCCAAUUUUUAGGAGAGUCAAAGGAUUCUUUGACAACCUUUCAGUUUAUAGUUUUUCAGUGUGAUACAUUCCCUCAUCAUAUAUCUCGAAAAUGAUAAGAGCUUGGUGUAGUGCCUACUCUUAUUGAUCUCCAUAUUUGUUCUUGUAGUUAGAUCAUUAGCUUUAUGGAGACUUAUGAAACUCAUUUCAUAAUCUCUUAACCGCUUUGGCUAAGGAUUUGAUUAAGCUAAUGUCAACCAAGAAUUAAUGAGAUAAUUCCCCUUAAGUCACUUGGGGUGAUGAUUUCUAUCUUGACUACUCAUUUGCCUUCAUAUGCUUUAUACUAUACUCAAAAACAUCUUGUUUUGGCAUCCUUGAUUUGGCACCCAUAAGGAUGAAAUCAAAGCAUAGUACUCCACAUAUAAAACAACUGGUGUCUCAAGUCUAGGGAGUAAUUACACAACUGACACAUAAGAAGUAUUGCAUAGACACUUGAGUGAGGUACCAAAUGCACUUCUCAUGGCGAGCCAUGUUCAAUGAACUCGCUCUCCCAUGGCAAGCACCCACAUGCUAGUUCCAAGUAUCUCUAUACUUCAACGUAUGAAAGCGAUUACUUACUUCACAAGUAAGGAACAUAACAUGUGCUAAUCUUUGAACAUUAUUGAUGCCCUGUCUCAAUAAUACAAUGAUCAAGAGCUUUUAGGUGCAAUGCUUUAAUGCAUAAGGAUCUCAUAAUUGUAUCCCAUUACAAUUCAUUCGCAAGGCAUAUAUAAUUCCAUGGGCUUUAUCUACAUAAGUACAAAAAGUAAUUAAAUUACAAACUCAUGGAUAAAGAACUACCUCAAUAUUAUUAUGAAUAACAAAAUGUCAUACAUGAAUAUCUCAAAAUUUGAAUUCCCAUACAACCAUAGAUUGGCUUGUAAGGCUCAUACUAACAGUUAACUAUUGGAAAAGUAUAGAUGAAGGAUUUAUUUUCAACUUUGAAUUAAGGCGUUUAGCCUUUCAUUUUGAUACGCCAUUGGUCUUUUUAAUUAUACAUGGUAUGUUCGAUAAGAAUUCCCACCAAUUAAGGUGAGUGGUGUUUUUAUGUUCUGAAAUGCAUGUGAUGCAUUACGCAUGAUAAUAUGCACUACCAUGGUGCAUUGAAUUGUUAUGUUUACGCCUAGAUGAGUAUGCCUAGGCUAGUAUAUUAUUAAUAUAUGUUCUAUAUGUGUUUGUUUGUGAUUGCUAUUAAAAAGCAUGAGCUGUUAGAUAUCUAGGUGAUGUAUGAUCUUAAUGGCUUUUGGAUAUGCUAUGACUAAGUGUGGUGGUUAUACUACAAUGUGUGAAUGGAUUGCCCAAUUUUUGAUGAAAUGUUGAUGUAUGAUUUGAUGUGAAAUUGCUCUAUAUAUGUGGGUUUAUGUGAUAUAGGUGGGAGGAACUUACUAUGUUAAAUUGUUUAUUUGAGAAUGAUUAAAUUAAUAAUUAUAUUGCAUUAUGGGAACUAGGUUGCCCAAUUGUAUUUGAGAUUAUGAUAUGUAUUUGGAGGUUAUAGCGUAUGAUGAAUAGACAAUGGGAGAAUUACUGUGUUUAUACACAAUUCAAUAUGUGUGAACUUAUGUAUAGUUGAUGUGAAACUGCUGAUAUCUGUGUGGCUAUUGAGUUGUGAUGAUUGACAUGAAUUAUGGUACAUGGAUUAUUAGUGGCAUUGAUGGCCCACAAACUUGAUGAUGUUCUAUCCGAUGGAUGAAUUUCGAACGUUGAUUAAUUUAAGGUUGAGUGGAGUCCGAUACCCCCGUGACUAUUUUCGUGCCUUAGGGAUGGUGAUAAGCAAGGACAGUAGUUGAAAUCCUGCCUAUAGUAUACAAUGCCAUUUGUCAUGAGAUUAGUCCAGAUGAUGAUUGUGAUGCCACCCAUGCGAAAAUACUCCGGUGAUGCCUUUUGUUGGGAUAUUGCCUUAGACGAGGAUUGUGAUGCCGUUCGUGGAGAGAUUGCUCUGGACUAUGACUUUGAUAUUACGCCGGUUGCUUUGGCAAUGGGCAUGAUUUGCUCUUCAUCAAUGGCUUUGCCCUAUGUGUGAUUUGUUUCUCCAUCGACGAGCCACCGUGCAUGAUUUGUUAAUGUUUAGGGGAGGACCACUCAUUGAUUUUGUUUGAUUAUGAUGAUAUAAUAUGUGAGUAUGUGAGUAUUGAUAUAUGUAACUGAAAUGUGGCGGUCAUUUUAUAAUUGAAAUGUGGUCGACAUUUGAUGAAAAGCUUUGAGGGAAGCAAAUCAUAUAUUGAGUUUGGGCUUGUGUUUGGCAACUAAAGUGUGCCUAUGGAGCUUAGUUUGAUAACGGCUUUAAAAAAAAAGGUAAGCCUUAAUUGAUACACUUUGUUAUGGAGACAUAGAUUUGAUUGAACAUGAAUUUGAGUGUGUUGUUGAGAUUUGAUUUUGACAAACAUAAUGUUACGUGCAUGUAAGGUAUUAGAAUGAUUCUCGCACUUGUAUUUUGGAGAUGUUUGAUAAUUUACUACGUAUCUUAUCUAAUAAAUGUGUCUCCAUAUUAUGAAUAUUUACCUCUGCUUUAUUAUACUACGAUAGCAUCCCUAUCUCAUUGAGCAUUAGAUGACUCACCCCUUUGUAUACCAUGUGUAGAUAAGCAACAUAUAUGUGGCUUAGCAUUAUUGUUUCGAUGAAUGAAUUUUGGCAUCCGGUAAGUUUUCCACCCAAUAGUUCACUCUAUUGAGUCCGAUCCAUACUAGCUUUCGCAUGUGAAUUUUAAAGUUUAGAAAAUAAUGUAUUUCAGAUAUUGAAGGCACUGAGUGUCAUGUGGUAUUUUGUACAAAGGGUUGUAUGAUACAAACCCAAUAAUUAGCCUAUGUGCGGCCUUAUGAAUGUUGUAUUAAUGAGUUUAUGAAAUAAAAUAGAUUAUUUAUUUUGCUUAUGAUACCAUGGAUUGAAUAUUGGUCACAUAAAUCCUAAGGCUUACUCGAGUCUUGCAAGCUUUGCUUGCCAAACCCGUGCCCGAUAACAGUCUUUCGAGUUUGAGUCGUGACAAUCUAAGUAAGAUAGAGGUCGUAGAGAACUAGCCAAGGCUAACAACUGUAACAGAGGAUUGGACUUCUCUAAGACUAGCUAGUUACUACAGACACUUCGUCUAAGAUUUCUGCAAGAUAGAAUCUCUUUUUACUAGAUUAACUUGAAAAUGGGUUAAAUUUGAUUGGUUUGAUGCCUACAAGGCAAGUUUCUUGAGACUCAAGGCCUAUGUCACUUUUACACCUAUGUUGAGCCUACCAUCUAGAUUUGAAGGCUGUAUCGUGUAUUAUGGUGCAUCACAGAUUGGUUUGGGUUGUGUAUUGAUGCAACAUGGAUGAGUUGUAGGUUAUGCCUCCCAAAAGCUGAAAAGACAUGAAUUGAACUACCCUAUGCACAAUUUGUUGGCAGUCAUCAUGUUUGCCUUAAAAAUCUAGAGACAUUAUUUAUAUGGUGAGACCUAGGAAAUAUAUAUUGAUCACAAGAGCUUAAAGUACAUAUAGCAAACUCGACUCUACAAUAUGUUUAUUAUGCCAUUCCUACAUAAGAAUGCAUAUUUGCUUACUUCGGUACCUCGAAAAUCAUUAAAGGACGGCAAUGUACCAAAUGGUACAAUUAAGUUGAAUUAAGUCUCGAACUAGUCCAAAUAGAGAUUUUAGGAUGAAAUUGAGAAUUUUAAAACCCCAGAAUGACUUAAAAUGGUGAUUCGGAGUUCGAGGACCGAUUUGGAGUCAAAUUGGAAUUUUUAUGACCUAGGGGCAAAAUGGUCAUUUUGCCACCCAAGGUUAAGAUGUGAGUGUUGGAUGAAAUUUUUGACUAAGAUUGAUCAUUUAGAGUAUAAUUUGAGUUUGAGAAGUGAAGAAUUUUAAUUUCGGCAUUUUUCCAAACAUAAGGGCAAAAUAGUCAUUUUGCCACCCUAGGGGCAAAAUUGUAAGUUUACACCACCCAACACUUGUCCAGCACAUGGAUUUUACCCAAAAUUAUUAUGGAUAAUUGAAGGAUUUUAUGUGGUGGAGAAAGAAAGCUUAAUAGUUAAGAAUUUAAAAAUGGACCAAUGGUAAGGUGACAAGUGUCAAGCUUUUAUUUUUUUAUUAUUUUCCUUAUAAAUUAGCACAAAGCCAGCCCAUUUCUCAUUUUUAUGGCCGGCUAAAGCAAGAACAAAGGAAGAAAAGGAAGAACAAAACCUUAGGUGGAAAAAUUCAAGGGAAAAGUGUGAAAAUUCAAGGAAACAAGUGAAAAAAAGGUAAGAUUUUUCAAUUAAGCUUGAGAUCUCUCUUUCUUAAGCAAAUUUUCUUAUUUUCCAUGGUUGAAUCACAUGAAAUCAUGAUGGGUCUCUUNAUCAUGAAGGAUUCAUGGCUGACUGAAUUUAGAGAAAGAAGAUUUGAUGAUUUAUUUGGUUAGAUUUUGAGAUAUUUUAGUGUUUAUAGUUGAUUGAUCAUGUUUGGAAGGAAAACAAGUAAGAAAAAUCACAUGUUCUUCAUGGAUUCUUCAUUAGCCGAAUUUUCCAUGUAGAGUGUGCAUGAUGAUUUUGAUUUUAUUUCAAGUGAAUUGGUUAGGAAAUGAUGAAUUAUGGUGAGAAAAUCAAGUAGGAAAAAUCAUAGUGUUGAUGCACCCACCAUGGCUGAAUUUUCCAAGAGAAAAUGUGAGGGUGAUUUUUCCAUAUUUCUAAGUUAUCUAACUUGUGUUUGAUGAUUUAGAGAAUUGGAAGAAAAUGGAAUUAUUGGAGUUGAAUUGGACAUAUUGGCUAAUUAAUCGAGUGAUAGAUCGAAUUAUGCCAAUACCAUUUUAUUUAGGUAUACAAUUGAAUUUGUGUAGAACACCGUGUUUAGACGAUAAUCUGAACAAUUUACAUCCCAUUUCAUGCAUUAGUAUAAAGCCUGAAUUGGUUUUAUAAUAAUUUAGCACAAAUGUAGUAAAUGGCUUAUUGUGCAUUAUGUCUAGGUAGUGAGCAUUUUGGCAAAAGUAAAGAGAUAGUACCCGAGGAUCAAGAAUUGGAGUACUCGGAAUUCGACUCCCAAAAUAGUGAGUAACCUUAUUAUCAUCUUGAUUAUCUGAAGUGAAUUUUAAUUCAUUUUUACGAUUUUAUUGAAAAUGAGUUUAAAUGGUAAAUCUUUAUGUUUUAUAAGCAAAAUGUGAUUAAAUGAAAUGAUUUUGUAAAAUUUUCUUGAAAUUGAAAGAUGGUUUUGAAAAUGGAGUAAUUGGAGACUAAUUGUUGUGUUAUAAAUCAUGGUUUGAAUUGAAUGGCUUAUGAUAAUAUUGGCAUGAAUGGUUGGAUUUGCUAAAUGUGCUGAAAAAGUAUGAACUAUUGAUUUGCCUUGAGAGGCUAUAAAAUAAAAUAAUUGCCAUGUCAUGCUGUUGAAUUUUAUUGAAUUGGUGGUUAUAAUUGGUCGCUGCAGUAGACGGGUUCCGUGGACCAGCCUAUUAGAGGGGCACGAUAACCCUAUUAUAUUCAUACCUCAAUAUGAGAGGCGCGGUUGGAUAACUCCUAAGGUUAAAACUUUAGAGUUCACUUCACGCCAUAUCACUACCCGAUACUCCCCUCGAGCCCGUGACAACCACCGCAGUGUCCAGAUAGACACUCAUUAUCCGGAAUGCCAACCGGAACCCCGCAAGGCUUUAAUAUCAAUUUUUCAUUUCCCUUGUGAGUAACCGUUGCCAAAUAUCACAUUCUAAAAGAUUUUAAACUAUUUCCAAAUCAAAAUAAUAGAAAAACAAUUUUUUUCUCACAAGGGCAUUUUGGUCAUUUUUUCAUAAAAAUCUCGAAAUCCGCUAAAAAUAUAGAAUGCGAGUACAAAAAACAUAAUUCAUAAUCAAAAAUAAAUUUGGAUGUCUAAAACAUUCGUUUAAAAUGAAAUUAUGACUAUUAGAAUAAAAUAAAAAUAUUGAAUAAAAUAUUUAAUUUUCUCAUAAAACAAUAUUUUUAGAACACUGCAUAAAUAAUUUUUACAACAUAAAAGCAAAAUAAAUUCAUAUAUAUUGUAAUAUAGUAAGCCGGAGUAUUUAAUUUAAUUUACAGUAACAAGUGGGCCCUCGAAUAACCAAAAGUAAGAAAGAUUGUGAACCUACAGUUUGGAGGAUGCAAAUCUAAUGGUAGCCUCGAUGAAAUUAGCUAUCUAUAGACUAUCCUAAGCCUGACAUGGGUGAAAAGGAGGGUGGUGAGAUUAUAUAAUCCCAGUGAGUAAACAAAUACGAUCUAAAAUAUCUAAAGCUGAGUAAAUAGAGACAGAUGAAAUAAUUUAACAUAUUGUAAUUUAUCACCUUUCAACUCGUUUCAACCAAAUAAAAUCAAUUCAUAUAAAUCGAGUAAUCAACAUGGCCUAUGAAUUUCUUAAAACUUUGGCUCGUGCCAAAAUCAUUCUCAUACUCAGUUAUUAGGGAUACCUUGGCCGAGGGCUAUCCCAACCGAGACCACCAAGGCUGUUAAAAAGUUAUGUACGCAUAAAUCGUGUUUUUAUUUUGAAAACAUAGUUGUUCCUUGGCAUUGGCUGAGUUCACCCUCACGUGGUGGUUGGGCGUGAAGUGAACUCUAAAGUGUUAACCUCAAGAGUUAUUCAUCCGCGCCUCUCACUGGGGUAUGAAUAUAAUAGGAUUAUCGUGCCCCUCUAAUAAGCUGGUCCACGGAACCCGUCCACUGUAGCGACUAAACCCACCAUAUAAUAAAAUUUACAAUAGCAUUACAUGGCAAUUAUUUUAUUUUACAGCCUCUCAAGGCAAAUUAACAGUUCAUACAUUUUCAAUACAUUUAUCAAAUCAACUAUUCAUGCCAAUAUUAUCAUAAGCCAUUAUAUUCAAACCAUGAUUUAUAACACAGCAAUUAGUCUCCAAUUACUCCAUUUUCCAAAACCAUCAUUCAAUUUCAAGACAAUUGUAUAAAAUCAUUUCAUUUAAUCACAUUUUGCUUAUAAAACAUAAAGAGUUGCCAUUUAAACUCAUUUUCCAUAAAAUCGUAAAAUCGGAUAAAAAUCACUUUAGAUAAUUAAGACGAUAGUAAGGUUACUCACUAUUUCGGGAGUCAAAUUCCAAGUACUCUGAUUCUUGAUCCUCGGGUACUAUCUCUUUACUUUUGCCAGAAUGCUCACCACCUAGACAUAAUGCACAAUAAGCCAUUUACUACAUUGUGCUAAAUUGUUAUAAAACCAAUUCAGGCUUUAUACUAAUGUAUGAAAUGGGAUGCAAAUUGUUUAAAUUAUCGUCUAAACACAGUGUUCUACACAAAUUCAAUUAUGUACCUAAAUAAAACGGUAUUGGCCUAAUUCGAUCUAUCUCUCGAUUAAUUGGCCAAUAUGUCCAAUUUAACUCUAAAUAAAUUCCAUUUUUCUCCCAAUACUCUAAAUCAUCAAACACAAGUCAAAUAGCAUAAAAUCUAGCAAAAUCAUUUUCACAUUUUCUCUUGAAAAAUUUAGCCAUGGUGGGUGCAUCAAUACUAUGAUUUUUCCUACUUGAUUUUCUCACCAUAAUUCAUCAUUUCCUAACCAAUUCACUUGAAAUAAAAUCAAAAUCAUCAUGCACACUCUACAUGGAAAAUUCGGCUAAUGAAGAAUCCAUGAAGAACAUGUGAUUUUUCUUACUUGUUUUCCUUCCAAACAUGAUCAAUCAACUAUAAACACUAAAAUAUCUCAAAAUCUAACCAAAUAAAUCAUCAAAUCUUCUUUCUCUAAAUUCAGUCAGCCAUGAAUCCUUCAUGAUAUCUUGUGAUUCAACCAUGGAAAAUGCAGAAUAAUGCAUGGGAAAGGUAGAUCACAAGUCAAAAUCAAUAAAUUUUACCUUUGAUUGCUUGAUUACUUGAAUUUUCACAAUUUUCCCUUGAAUAUUUCCACCUAGGGUUUGUGCUCUUCUUUUCUUCCUUUAUUCUUGCUUUGGCCGGUCAUAUGAAGAGAAUUGGGCUGAUUUUAUGUUGAUUUUUAAGCCAAAAAAAAUAAAUGGAUAUAAAUUUGACACAUGUCACCAUUCCAUUGGUCCAUGUGUCAUACUUAGCCACUAAGCAAUCUCUCUCCGCCACUUAAAUUUCUUAAUUAUCCAUGAUAAUAUUGGGUAAAAUCCAUGUGUUGGACAAGUGUUGGGUGGUGUAAAAUUAUAAUUUUGCCCCUAUGUGGCAAAAUGAUUAUUUUACCUCUAUGCUUGAAAAAAUGCCGAAAUUAAAAUUUUUCACUUCUCAAACUCAAAUUAUGUUCUAAAUAGUCAAUCUUGAUCAAAAACUUCUUCCAACAUUCCAAUUUUAACCUAGGGUGGCAAAAUGACCAUUUUUCCCCUGGUUCAUGAAAAUUCCAAUUGGACUCUAAAUCGGUUCUCGAACUCCGAAUCACCAUUUUAAGUCAUUCUGGAGUUUUAAAAUUCUCAAUUUCAUCUUAAAAUUUUUAUUUGGACUAGUUUGAGGCUUAAUUCAACUUAAUUGUACCAUUUGGUACAAUAUCGUCUUUCAACGAUUUUCAAGGUACCUAAGUAAGCAAACAUGCAUUCUUAUGUAGGAAUGGUAUAAUAAACAUAUUGUAGAGCUGGGCUUGACACGCCAAACCACCACGUGAAGGUGAACUCAGUCAACUCCAAGGAACGACUAUGCUUUCAAAAUAAAAACAUGAUUUAUGUGUACAUAACUUUUUAACAGCCUUGGCGGACUCGGUUAGGAUAGCCCCAAGCCAAGGUAUCCCUGAUAACUGAGUAUGAGAAUGAUUUGGCACGAGCCAAACUUUUCAGGAAAUCAUAAGCCUCAUUGUUUAUUUUGGUGAAAUGAAUCCAUUUUAUUUUAUUAAAAUGAGUUCGAAAUGCUAAGAAUCAAUUUUUAUGCUAAUAUAUUUUAUCUAUCUCCAUUUACUCGGCUUUAGAUAUUUUAGAUGGUAUUUGUUUAGUCACUGAGAUUAUAUAAUCUCACCACCCUCCUUUCUACCCAUUUUAGGCUCAGGAUAGUCGGUAAAUAGCUCAUUUCGUUGAGGGCUAUAGUUGGACUUCCAUCCUCAAAAACUGUAGGUUUACCGCUUUUGAUACUUUUGGUCAUUCGUGGGCCCACAUGUCACUGUAAAUUAAAUUUUAUACUUUGGUUAUCUAUAUUACAGUAUGUAUGAAUUUAUUUAGCUUUUACGCUACAAAAAAUAUUUACUGAUAACUCUAUAAAUAUUGUUUUAUAAGAAAAUAGAAUAUUUUAUUAUAUUCAAAUAGUCAUAAUUUCAUUUUAAAUGAAGGUUAUAGACGUUGAAACUUAUUUUUGAUUAUGAAUUAUGUGUUUUAUACUCGCAUACUACAUUUUUAACUGGUUUCGAAAUUUUCGAGAAAAAAUGACUAAAAUGCCCUUGUGAGACAGAAAUCAUUUUUUUUAUUGAUUUAAGUUGAAAAUAGCUUAAAAUCUUUUAGAACAUGAUAUUUGGCAACGGUUACUCAUAGGGGAAAUGAGAAACUGACAUUAAAGCCUUGCAGGGUUCCGAUUGACAUUCCAAGUAAUGAGUCUCAAAUCAGGACACCGCGUCGGUUGUCACUAGCUCGAAAGGAGUAUCGGGUCAUGACAAUAUAUUUCAAAAGUGGGACCUAAAUUUAAGGCAGUGUAGGUGGUUAGAGUUGUUGAAAGACUAUGAUUGCACCUACACUACAGCAUUUUCCUUGUCGGGAUGUUAGAGUAUGGUGUAGAUAUAGUCUUUCAACAGCUUUAACCACCUACACAAGUCCCACUUUUGAAAUAUAUACUUCAAGAUCUUGUGAUCAAUAUAUAUUUCCUAAGUCUCACCAUAUAGAUAAUGUCUCCAAAUUUUUAAACCAAAAUUGAUGGGGAGUUUAGCUCAUGUUAUAGUAAAAAGACGAUCUUUGGUGUAGAGUUUGUAUGAUUUGGGCAAUAUGUGGGUACAUUUUGAGGUUAAUGAUUCAAAUGCCUUAUUGGUCCACUUUGGAGUUCGAUCGGUGACCAUGGAUAGGAUUAGAAAUGCCUAGAAUCAAGAUGAAUUUUUGAUAAAAAUCUUUGGAGAUAUGAGUGAAGAUAAAGCUUAGGACUUUGUCUAUGGCACUGAUGGUUUAGAUAGGUAUCGAUCAUGAGUUUAAGUGUCAGAUUUUGAUAAUUUAAAAGAGGAAAUACUAAAAGUAGCUCACAUUGUAGCCUAUGCCAUACACUUGAGAGCCACUAAGAUGUAUCACUAUUUUAAGCUUGUUUACUAGUGGCCAAGGUUGAAGAAAGACGUAGCUGAGUACGUCUCUAAGUGUUUGGUCUGUCAAAAAGUGAAAAUCAAAUAUCAAAGGCCUUCAGGACUACUGCAACCAUUAUCGAUAAUUGAGAACAUGUAGUAAUAGACAUUGUAAUGGGUUUUCCUAGAGCUAGGGGAGGUUAUGAUGCCAUUUGGGUGAUAAUUGAUUGACUAACGAAAUUAGCUUAUUUCUUGCUAGUCAAGAUGACUUUUGGAGCAGCUCGAUAUGCCCGAAUCUAUAUCGAAGAGAUUAUAAGGCUAUGUGGUGUUCUGAUUACCAUAGUGACUGACAAGGGACCACAAUUUACUAAUCGAUUUUGGAAGAAGCUGCAAGAAGCCUUAGGUACAAGGCUUAAUUUUAGUAUGACCUAACAUCCGUAGACUGAUGGCCAGUCAAAGCGUAUGAUACAAACACUCAAAGAUAUGUUGAGAUAAAUCAUACUUGAUUUUAGAGACUCAUGGAAUCUUUAUUUGCCAUUGGCUGAGUUUGCGUACAACAAGAGUUAUCAAUCUAACAUAGGUAUGGCACCAUUUGAGGCCUUGUAUCGGCAAAAGUGUAGGUUGCCUAUUGGUUGGCUUGAGGUCGAAGAGAGAAAACUCUUAGAGCCAGAGAUGGUCCAAGCAACUAUAGAUGGUGUCUGUAUACUCUGAGAAAAGAUGCUAUCAUCUUAAAGUCGACAGAAAUCAUACGUUGAUAGCAAGUGAAAGCUUUCGGAGUUAAAGAUUGAAGACUACAUGUUCUUAAGAAUUUUGCUGACCAAGGGAGUUAAGAAGUUCAGCAAUAGAGGAAAAUUGAGCCCAAGGUACAUUAGAUCGUUUUAAGUUUUCGAGCGCAUAGGCACAAUUGCAUAUCAGUUAGCAUUACCACUAAGCAUGUCCAAUGUUCAUUUGAUUUUCUAUGUAUCCAUGCUUAGGAAAUAUGUUCCCAAUCUUUCGCAUGUAAUUUGGUAUGAUAAGGUUCAAUUACAAGAUAGACUUACGUAUGAGGUGCAGCUCGUAGCCAUUUAGAUUGGCAAGUAAAAUGGCUUCACUCCAAGGAUAUUGUUUCAAUAAAAAUGUUAUGGCAAAGCCACUGAGUUGAAAAAGCAACAUGUGAAUUGGAGGAAGACAUGCAGUCAAAUUAUUCAUAUCUCUUUGAAAUUUAAGGUACAAUCUUGAUGCAUACACUUGAGUUAAAUUUGAGGAUCAAAUUUUUAUAAGGAAGGGAGGAUGUAAGGCCCUUAACUUUGAUAAAUGUUGUUUGUGGAUUGUGUUAAGGUAUUUGAUGAGCUAACAAGUGAUUUGAGGCAUGAUUGGAAAUUUUAAAUUGAUAAAUAUGUGUUUAAAGGUUUUAAAAGAUGUGCUUGGGGUUAUAUGUUAGUAAUGUGAAGUAUGCUUGUUGGAUGUUUGAUGUUUGAUAAGUUAAACAUGAGUUGGUAAAGUCAAAGAUAGAAUUAGAAGGUUGGAAAUGUGACAUUUUUAGUUUUUGGAGGUUAUCUAUCGAUAGAAUCACUAAAUCUAUCGAUAGAUACGAACUCGAGAGCAAAGCGAAACUAUUGGACGAACAUUUAUGAUAUCUAUCAAUAGAUAUCAACCCAAGAGCAAAUGCAAGCAAUUUGGACCAAAUCUAUUAAUAGAUUCAUCGAAUCUAUCGAUAGAUAGCAACCCAAGAGUAAAUUGAAAGUGUCCAAUGUGCCAACUAUUGAUACACAACCCUAUCUAUUGAUAGAUGGAGUUUGAAAUGUUAAAACUCACGGGGAAUCUAUCGAUAAAUGCACCCAUAUUUUGAUAGAUGCAUGUACUAGUGCAAAAAAUAUAUAAGAUAUGGGCAUUCUGCCCAUUUGAAACAAAGAGAAAUAAAGCCUUUCUUUGCUAAAGAACAAAAUUCCCUAUUUUCCUUGGAUUGAAGGAAGCUCAUUUAACGUGCUUGAGAGCUUGGAAAAUAAUUAUUGAGGUAAGAUCAAGCUUUCCCUUAACUAGAAAUUCACUUUAAACUGUUUAAAAGUGAAAUGUUAUUUGUUGUUUCAACUUAAUUAUGUAUUCUUAAAGCUAAACGAAAUUUUGGAGAAUGGUAGGAGUAAUGUAGUUUUCCAUGCUCAGAACAAGCUACCUAACUACUUUGGUUCUCAUUUAAUCGAUUUAGUUUCUCUAGUAAUUGUUUCAUUGAGAAAAGCUAUGAUUUGGUUUGUAAGGAACCAAAGUUCUAGAAGUUUGAUGCUUUGGGGAAAUCCCUAGAAGGUAAGGAUUGUGUAUAUUUGGAAAUGUUGAGAUGAAAAAUUAAAGUUGUUAGUGUAUAAUGGUAUUGGAAAUGAGCUAGAAUUUGAGUAGAGAACCAUUUGUUUAAGUUUGAAAUUUAUGAACUAAUGUUAAGCUAAAAAUUUAACUAAAAAUGAAUGGAUAAUUAAUUUGUUGACUCCAUGAGUUUUUAAUGAUAACAUAACAUUCCCAUUCAUUAAUGUCUAAUUAUACUACUUGAGUGUGCAAGAUAAAAAUGUAUGUCACUUAAUGAAAUAAUCACUUUAAAGCAAACAUCAAAACUCAUCAGAAUAAAGGGUCACAAAAUGAGUUACAAAUAGAAGCCUCUUAGUAGGUUAACCAAGGGAGUUAGUUAGCUAAAAUCCAAGAGUAAAGAUCCAAAGUGAAGGCAGUCAAAUUUGUGAAGAACAAUUCAAGAAGUCUCACUGACUAACAUAUCUUAUGGCUGUUUAAGGGCAAUGGAAGAUUAGCAUUAACCAGCUAAGAGAAGAAUUAGUCAAAUAAAGAAAAGUUGGUGAAAUUGGUUGCUCUAAAAACAGUAAGCUCUUAAUUGGUUAAAAUCUUUCUUAACAUAUUAAUAGAGUAAAGAAAACUAUGAGGCAAAGAAGACUUAACUGACUAAGAAGUAUGGUUAGCUAGCUAAAAGCACAUUGUUAGAAAUUUUGAAUUUGAAUGUCUGAAGACAAACUAACGGCUAGAAAGGAUUUCAAACUGUUUUUAAUGGUCUAAAGCUGUCAAACAUCCAUCAAAGCUGAUUUUUCAAGUAUGAAAGGCAUCUAUAACGGCUAAGAAGAUCAUUGAAUACUUCCAAGAACUAAAAAGAAUUAAGAAUUGCAAAAAUCGUCUCACUCUUUCUUCUUGUAUUUCACUCAAAUCUUUGUAAUAGAGUUUAACACCUCAUCUUGUAUCAUUCAGAUCAGGUUAGCACUCAUAAGUACAUUUUCAUAUCUGUAUUCCUUGAUUACUUAGAGUGUGCGAGGCACUCUAAGGGAUUUGAUCAAGCUUGCGAUAGCUUGGUUGUUGUUCUAAGUUCUAACUUAGCCUUAGAAAAAUUAGUUUAGGUUUUGGUUGAUCCCAAGAAAAACCAUUGUAAAAGGUUGUAGCUAAGACUAUGAAAAGCUAUAGUAAAAGCUUGGUGGAAGCUUGUGAAUUCCAUUAGAUUUAGUGAAGUAAUUUGGAAAUCCUUGGUUAGGAGAUCAAGGUCGUGAACAUAGGUCAAAGGGACCGAACCAUUAUAAAUCAUUAUUUUUUGUUUACUUUCCUCUAUUUUCUUCUCACUCUUGACACUUAAAUCAUUCUUCCAACAAGCUUUAAACUUCCACUUUCAAAUUCCCUUCAUUAGCUCUUAACUUAGAAAGAAUUUGCUUAUCAUUUGAAAAGUGCUAUUCACCCCCCCUUAGCACACUCUUUACAACCAACAUAACUAUGUGUUGAAUUAUCCUUAGAUCACCAUUGGAACAGGAAUUGAUAAAAGCUAUUCUAUUAGAAAUAAGGAAAUUAGAAUUAGUUGCCAUAAGAAAACCACUUAUCACAGUGAAUGGGGCAUUUUGUUUGAAUAUUAAGAUUAAUGCAUGUUUGCAUAACGCAUGUAAAUGCAUUUUCAUGGAACAUGAUGCUAGGAACAGCAUGAUUAAAGCAUCAAUGCAAUGAAAUAAAUAAAAACCAUGCUUACUACCUUUAGAUCACCUAGGUUGUCUAAUGCAAAGUUAAGCAUCACAUAAAAUUAGAAAAAGUUUUACCUUUCUAAAUGAUAUCGCAAUCAAAUGGAUUCCUUUUGGUGACAAAACGUGAACACCUUUUGUGUGAAAGAAUUCCAGCCACUCAAUUGCUUGGCCUCCAAUGUUGCACACAUGAUUGCAACGAUUUUCCUCAAAGAGAGAACUUUAUGCCACGGGCUUGUGCUAGCAAGUAGACAACAAUUUGUCAUCUCUUCUUCUUUGAUUUCCAGCAAAGAAUCAAAGGAGAAGUUUUCCAAGAAAAAAACUUCUCAAGAGUGGUGACACUCAAGUGAAAAACCUUUUUUUUUCUGUUGUUUUUUCUCUCUAUUGAAAAUACUAGCUAUAAUGUGAUAUUUAUAUCUAGGUUUAACUUAUUAAAAUUUACAAAAUAAGUCCUUAAAAUUAUAACAAUUAUAAUAUUUAACCAAUACCUAAUAAACUCUUUUAAUUAGGUCCUUAGUAGUUAAAACCUAGAAUUUGAUUUAAGUCUAACUUAUAUCAUCACACCCUCAAUUUAAUCCAAAUUGCAACCUUUGUGUGUGACCCAUUAGGUUCCUAACAUGUUGGCAAGGAAAUUGAAUUAUAAUAUUAUUAAUUAAUUAAUUUCAAUAAAUCAUAUUCAAUUUUAAAUUAACUAAUUCAAUUCCAUAGACCAUGAUUAGCAUCUAGCUGUGAGACCUCAACCUCUACAGACCCAUAACUAGCAGUAGACGCGAUAACACGGACCAGGGGCAAUUUCAUCAUUUCUCAUGGUGAGCUCUUGAAAGUAGCUUUCAAAUGUUAUUAAGCUGUAAAUAGACCUAAGGAAUAAAUGAAUGAUGGUAAAAUCAAUAAAGAAGAUAGAAAUAUUGAUAAUUUUCACGAUAGGGGCAAAACGAUCAUUUUGCAUCUCGAGUCAAAAUUUUUUAGUUUUCGUGAACUCGAGUAUUUCGAGACUCUUAUGGACCUUGUCUCAGUGUCAAAGAAGUGAAAAAGAUUGUAUAAAGGCAAUAGAAAGACAAAUGACUUUGUUAAGGGCAUUUUGGUAAUUACGUGAGAAGAUGGAUAAACAUAAGGCAUAAAUAUCUAAGCUUCUAGCAAGUUCUUCAAAUUUCUAGCAACUUCUUCUUCUUCUUCUUCCUUUCUCACAAUUUCUUACCUUCCAUGGAAGCCUCUUUUAAAGCUUCCAUAACUUUCUCUCUCUAGCUUCAAUUUUCAUGCUUUUGAGCACUUUUUCAUAUAACCUUUUAUGCUCUUUCACUCUCCCACCUUAUAAACCCUCAAAAGUCUUUGUUCAGUGCUUUCUCUCACUAGCUAGAAGUUUAAGAGAGAGAAAGAGAGACUUGCCGUAAUAGCUUGAAAACUCUUGAAAAGGAGUUCAACUAUAAGUCCGCUAAGGUGAGAGAUGAGUUAGAGUUGAUUUUAGGUGGUUAAAGAUGGCUAAUAAUUAGAAUUGUGGGCUGUUAUAUUUUUUAUGGUUAUAUUGUGUGUGAUAGGUUCCAACGAGGCCUCACAUGUCCGUUUGAAGCAAUAAUCGAAGUUAGAGUUAAUUAAAGGUUCAACAAAUAUCGGUGAGUGAACUUGCAUCAAAGUGUUUUUGGGAAUUACGUAUGUAUUGGGAUGAAGCCUUUAAAUGAUUUUACUUGGUUUUCAUUAAAUUAUGCAUGGGAACAAGCCCUUGAUAAAAUGUUUUGAUGUUGUGAAAAUGGAUAGUGUGAUAAAUCCAUAUGUUUUUGUAUAAUUGAUAUAUAUAUAUAUAUACUAUGUCAUAAAUGGUACCAUUGCGUGACAAAUGCAACCGUGCAUGUGCGGGGUGAGUGUGCACCUGUCGGUGAUGAUGGUGGUGAAGGAGAUGGAUGGUGAUAUUGCCCGUGUGCACAAUGUGGGGGGAUGUACACGAUGGGAUUAACUGUGCACGAUGUGGGGGGAUGCACAUGAGCUGGGUGAGAUGGGGUGGUGUACGUGUUUAUAUAUGUUUAUAUAUAUAUAUGUGAUAGAAAGUUUAUUAUUAUAAUAUGUGAUUGAAAUGAAUAAUGAGAAACUUGAUUAUUAUCAAUGUGUUCACUUUGAUGUGCAAUAUGGUAGGAAUGGAUUUUGUGGCAUGUGGAAAUCCCUUAAUUGUCUCAUCUACCCUGAAUCUCGCUGCAGCAAGAAGCUCUUAGGUGGUGGGGGCACAACCAGUCUUGUGUCUCACUGCAAUGAAAAAGAAUUCUCCCUCCAGCGAUGAAUUUCACUACAGCGAAAAUGGAACUCGCUGCAGCUAGAAACUCUCAGGUAGUUCCAAAUUCUUUGUGCAAUGCUUCCAAUUUAACAAUGAUUUUGACCACCUUCCAAUCAGAAUUGGGUAAAAUGGUAAACAUAAAAGUUGUAGCCCAACCUCUUAUCUUUCUAAUGGUCAAAAUCAGGUCAAUUGGAUUUCUUUAGUAGGAGAUAUUCUAGAAACACCAAAACAUGUGCAAACUAAGAUUGUUUCUCGCUGCAGCGAGAAACUUACUGCCCUUGUUUCUACCUUGCUUGAUUUUGACAUAUUUUUCACCCAUUUAACUUUAUAGAUUGACCGUGGGUUUUUGCAACACUAUGAGGUUAUUAAUCAAAGUUGAAUAUGAGGGGUUUUUAGUAAGAAAUUAAAUCAAUUGCAUUGUUUUUGAAACAAUUACAUCAUGAUUUCCAGGUUCUCCUUAUCGAUUGCUUGUUCCCUUCUUAUGUUCACUCACUAAGUUUUAUACUCACAUUUUUAAACUUCAUGUUUUCAGAUUUAGAGGUAGUUAGAACCUAGAUUGAGUUGUCCACAUAUGCUUGCCUUUUGGGUAGGUACUAUGGCAUCUCAGUAGCUGUACCUUCACCCACGGUCAAGGGUCUGUUACUUGUGAACACACAUAUGUAAUGAAAUCCGCUAGUAUCCAUGUUAUAAGUCAAAUAUAUAUAUUUGAUUACUGAUGCCACUAGGAGUUGGCAAACGGGUGACAUUAUUUUGACAUAAUAAAAUUUUAAGUAUUGGGUCACUAUAAAAUGCUACUGAAAUAUUUUAGUAGAGAAUUACAAUAUGUGAUUUUAGAAAUGAUGGUUGGGACUGAUGAUCGAGAUUGCAUAAAAAGGGCUUGCUUGGGCUUAGUGGGCUAUGCCCAUUAGGCCUAUACAUCGAUCAUGGCUCGGGAUUUGGGUUGUGACACUAGCAAUGCAUCAUGGCCCCCCAAUUGUUAGGAGAGUCGAUGGAUUCUUUGACAACCUUUCAGUGUACAGUUUUUCAAUAUAAUUCAUUCCCUCAUCAUAUAUUCUGGAGAUGAUAAGAGUUUGGUGCAACGCCUACUCUUAUUGGCCUCUAUAUUUGUUCUUGCAGUUAGAUCAUUAGCUUUAUAGAGACUCAUGAAACUCAUUUCAUAAUAUUUUAAUCACCUUGGCCAAGGAUUUGAUUAAGCUAAUGUCAACCAAAAACGAAUGAGAUAUUUCCCCUUGAAUCACUACGGUGAUGAUUCCUAUCUAGACCACUCAUUUGCCUUCAUUUGCUUCAUACUAUACCCAAAAAUAUAUUGUUUUAGCAUCUUUGGUUAGUCACCCAUAGGGAUGAAAUCAAAGUAUAGUAUUCCACAUACAAGACAACUUGGUGUCUUAAGUCUAAGGAGUAGGUGCAUAACUGACACAUGAAAAGUAUUGCAUAAACACUUGAGUGAGGGACCAAAUGCACUUCUCACGGCAGGUCAUGUUCAGUGAACUCGUUCUCCCAUGGCAAGCACCCAUAUGCUAGUUUCAAGUAUUUCUAUACUUCAACCUAUGAGAGAAAUUGCUUACUUCACAAGUAAGGAACAUAACAUGUGCCGCUCUUUAAGCAUUAUUGAUGCCCUGUCUCAAUAAUACAAUGAUCAGAAACUUUUAAGAACAAUGCUUUGAUACAUACGGAUAUCAUAAUUGUAUCCCAAUACAAUUCUUUUAUAAGGCAUUUAUAGUUUCAUGGGCUUUAUCUACAUAAGUACAAAAAAUAAUUAAAUCACAAACUUAUGGAUCAACAACUACCUCAAUGUUAUUAUGAAUAACAAAAUGUCAUACAUGAAUAUCUCAAAAUUACAAUUUUUGUUCCACCACAUGUCAAGCCCUACUCUAUAAUAUACUUGCCAUGUCAUUCAUGUAUUUGACAACAUGCUUACAUACUUGAAUACCUCAAAAAAAUCGUCAAAAGUCGGUAGUGUACCUAGUGGUACAACUAAGUUGAUUUAAGCCUCAAACUAGUUCAAAUAGAGAUUUUAGGAUGUAUUUGAGAGUUAUUGAACCUUAGAAUGUCUUAAUAUGGUGAUUCGGAGUUCAGGGAUUGAUUUGGAGUUAAAAUGGAAUUUUCAUAACGUAGGGGUAAAAUGGUCAUUUUUUCACCCGAGGGAAAAUUUGGGAUGGUGGAUGAAAUUUUGAUCAAGUUUGACUAUUUGGAACAUAAUUUGAGCUUGAGAAAUGAAAAAUUUUAAUUCUAAUAAUUUUUCGAACAUAAGGGCAAAAAGGUCAUUUCACGUGUCUAUAAGGACGUAAUUAGAAUUUUUGGAAUUUUACACCACCUUGACACUUGUCAAACCCAUGAAAUUCAUUUUAUACUUUGGAUAAUUGAGGGAUUUUAUGUGGUGGAGAAGAAAUGCUUAAUUAUUAAGUUUUAUGUAUAGACCAAUCACAUGGUGACAAGUGUCAAGCUUUAAUAUUAUUAUAUUUUCCUUUAUAAACACAACUAAAACUCUCCCAUCUCAUUUCUCUUGGCUGGUCAAGGCAAGAACAAAAGGGAAAAAGCAUAGAACAAACCCUAGAGAAGAAAAUCAAGAGAAAAUUCAUUGGAUUUCAAGGAAUUAAGCAAGUAAAGGUAAAAUUUCUUAAUUCUAGCUUGUGAUCUACCUUUCCUAUGCAUUCUUUUUCAAUUACCAUGGUUAAAAUUCAAGAUCUCAUGAAGGAUUCAUGGCUGACCGAAUUUAGGGAGAGAAGAUUUGAUGAUUUAUUUGGUUAGAUUUCAAGGUAUCUUAGUGUUUUUAGUUGUUUGGUGAUGUUUAGCAUGAAAAACAAGCAAGAAAUUUCAUGCCCUUCACCCACACUCCUUGGCUGAAAUUUUCAAGAGAGAAAUUGGAUAAUGGACUUUGAUGAAUUUCAUGCUAUUUAGGUGUUUUUAGUUGUUUUAUGAUGUAAGGUGUAAAAAUCAAGCAUGAAAAUUACAUGUUCUACACUAAACCUUCAAUGGCCGAAUUUUACAAGGAAGAUAUUGAUGAUGGAUUUUUGUGAUAUUACAUAUUAUUUAACUUGUAAUUGAUGACUUGGAGUGUUGGAAGUGGAAUCAAGUUAAUUGGAGUUGAAUUGGAUGUAUUGGCCAAUUAACCGGUGUAUAGAUCGAAUUAGGCCAAUACCAUUUUAUUUCGAUACAUAAUUGAAGCUACGUAGAACACCAUAUUUAGAUAAUAAUCCGAACAUUUUGCAUCCCAUUUCAUGCAUUCAUAUAGAGCCUAAAUUAGUUUUAUAAUGAUUUAGUACAAAUAUAGUAAAUUGCUUGUUGUGCAUUAUGUUUAGGUAGUGAAACUUCUGAUAAGGGUAAGGAAAUUGUACCCGAAGAUCGGGACGACUCCUGAUAUUGUGAGUAACCUUAUUAUCGUCUUAAUAAUCUAAAGUAGUUUUUCUUCGUUUUUGUGAUUUUAUAGAAAAAUGAGUUUAAAUAGUAAAUCCUUAUGUUUUAUAAGUAAAAUGUGGUUAAAUGAAAUGAGUUUUAUAAAUCAUUUUGAAAUUGAAUGAUGAUUUUAGAAAUUGAGUAAUUGGAGACUGUUUGAUUGUGUUGUAAAUUUAUGGUUUGAAUUGAAUGGCUUAUGGUGAUAUUGGCAUGAAUGGCUAAAUUGGAAAUUGUGUUGAAAUUGCAUGAACUGUUUGUUUUGCCUUAACAGGCUGGGUAGUAAUAUAAUUGCCAUGUCAUGUUGUCAAAAUUUUUAUUGAUUUGGUGGGAUAUUGAUUAGUCACUACAGUGGUGGGUUUCCGUGCACCAGCUUAUUAGAGAGCGGCACAGUAAACCCAAUUAUAUUUUACUUCGGUAUGAGAGGCGCGGAGAGUAUCUCCUGAGGUAAAGCUUUAGAGUUCACUACACGCUAAACCACCACGUGAGCGUGAACUUAGUCAAUGCCAAGGAACGGCUAUGCUUUUAAACAUAAAAAUGUGUUUUAUGCGUAUAUGAACUUUUCUUUAACAGCCUUGGCGGACUCGGUUGGAUGCCCUGGCCAAGGUAUCCCUGAGAAUGAGUUUUUGGCACGAACCAAAAUUUUUAAGAAAUUCAUAAGUCGUGUUGAUUAUUUGAGUGAAAUGAAAUUAUUUUAUUUAGUUGAAAUGAGUUUGAAACGUUAUGAAUCAUAGUACGAU